rfam:Bombyx mori DNA, contig: Bm_scaf35_contig21350, strain: p50T/Dazao, build 2, whole genome shotgun sequence.
UCGAACGAAAUUUGUAUGCAGUUGGAUCAGCGCCCCUAGCGGCAAACGUAGGCAAAUGUUUCACCUCCAUACUAAUUUGAGUUA